GGCCGGAUAGUGUAGUUGGUUAUGUGAGUAUUUCCCUACUUCUUCUCCUUCAGCUCAACAGCUAAUCAUUGAAAAGCGCGUGUCCUUUACAAUCCAUCUGAGAUUCCAAACGGACAAGGUCCGGGGUUCGAUCCCCCGUCCAGUCA